rnacentral:rRNA from 1 species
GACGAACGCUGGCGGCGCGCUUAACACAUGCAAGUCGAGCGAGAACCGAGGCUUCGGCCUCGGGGACAGCGGCGAACGGGUGAGUAACACGUGGACAACCUGCCCUCGGCACCGGGAUAGCCCGGGGAAACCCGGAUUAAUACCGGAUGGCCCUUCCGGCUUCAGAGCCGGUCGGAAAAGGUAGCUUCGGCCUCCGGCCGAGGAGGGGUCCGCGGCGGAUUAGCUUGUUGGUGGGGUAACGGCCUACCAAGGCUCCGAUCCGUAGCUGGUCUGAGAGGACGAUCAGCCACACUGGGACUGAGACACGGCCCAGACUCCUACGGGAGGCAGCAGUGGGGAGUCGUGCGCAAUGGGCGAAAGCCUGACGCAGCGACGCCGCGUGAGGGAAGAAGGCCUUCGGGUUGUAAACCUCUUGCAGCAGGGACGAAGCUACUCGGGUGAACAGCCCAGAGGGUGACGGUACCUGUAGAAGAAGCCCCGGCUAACUACGUGCCAGCCGCCGCGGUAACAC